CCUACGGGGGGCUGCAGUGAGGAAUAUUGGUCAAUGGGCGCGAGCCUGAACCAGCCAAGUCGCGUGAAGGAUGACGGUCCUAUGGAUUGUAAACUUCUUUUGUGCAGGAAUAAAGUGAGGAACGUGUUCCUUUUUGUAUGUACUGUACGAAUAAGCAUCGGCUAACUCCGUGCCAGCAGCCGCGGUAAUACGGAGGAUGCGAGCGUUAUCCGGAUUUAUUGGGUUGAAGGCGUGCGUAGAAGGGCUGAUUGAAAGUUUGCAGCUUAACUGUAAGAUGGCCAUUGAAACUGUUAGACUUGAGUGCAAAUGAGGUAGGCGGAAUGUGUUGUGUAGCGGUGAAAUGCUUAGAUAUAACACAGAACUCCGAUUGCGAAGGCAGCUUACUGGGAUGCAACUGACGCUGAUGCACGAAAGCGUGGGUAUCAAACAGGAUUAGAUACCCCAGUAGUC
rnacentral:rRNA from 1 species